CAUGUACUCCCUCCAUCCGAAAAUACUUGUCAUUGAAAUGGAUGUAUCUAGAUGUAUUUUAGUCCUAGACACAUCCAUUUUGAUGACAAGUAAUUCCGGACGGAGGGAGUACUUG
rfam:Triticum aestivum genome assembly, contig: Triticum_aestivum_CS42_TGACv1_scaffold_146919_2BS